UUAAAUAGGUCUUAUGUUGGUGGAAUGUGUUUGCAUUUCUGAAAGAGGAAUUCGGUAUGAAGCCGGAACUGCCCCCGCAACUGUAAGGUGGACAAGAAUUGAAAAUAACCACUGUGCGUUUUUGACGUAUGGGAAGGUUCAAUUGUUGAAUGAAGCCAAGUCAGGAUACUCGCCAAAUAAGACGGAAGCAAC
rnacentral:ncRNA from 12 species